rnacentral:misc_RNA from 1 species
GAAAUGCGAUAACUAGUGUGAAUUGCAGAAUUCCGUGAAUCAUCGAGUCUUUGAACGCACAUUGCGCCCCCUGGUAUUCCGGGGGGCAUGCCUGUCCGAGCGUCAUUGCUGCCCAUCAAGCACGGCUUGUGUGUUGGGUCGUCGUCCCCUCUCCGGGGGGGACGGGCCCCAAAGGCAGCGGCGGCACCGCGUCCGAUCCUCGAGCGUAUGGGGCUUUGUCACCCGCUCUGUAGGCCCGGCCGGCGCUUGCCGAACGCAAAUCAAUCUUUUUCCAGGUUGACCUCGGAUCAGGUAGGGAUGCCCGCUGAACUUAAGC